rnacentral:rRNA from 1 species
UACAGAGGUCUCAAGCGUUGUUCGGAUUCAUUGGGCGUAAAGGGUGCGUAGGCGGCGCGGUAAGUCGGGUGUGAAAUCUCGGAGCUUAACUCCGAAACUGCAUUCGAUACUGCCGUGCUUGAGGACUGGAGAGGAGACUGGAAUUUACGGUGUAGCGGUGAAAUGCGUAGAUAUCGUAAGGAAGACCAGUGGCGAAGGCGGGUCUCUGGACAGUUCCUGACGCUGAGGCACGAAGGUCAGGGGAGCAAACGUG